CCUUAAUUUAAACCAAACCAUUUUUUCCGGCCAGUAAAUGAGAUUAAACCCCACCAUGGCCUUACAAGUACCGCAAGGGAACAGUGAAAGAAUAAUGAAAAACUCUAAGCAUAAAACAGCAAAGACCAACCCCUGUACCUCCUGCAUCAUGGUUUAGCAAAACCUCUUCAGACAAAGCGAACCUUUAGCCUGCCCCCCCGAAACCAAACGAGCUAUUUUUGGGCAGCUGUUAAUCUAGAGCACACCCGUCCCUGUAGCAAAAGGGUGGGAAGACCUAAAAAUAGAGGCAAAAAGCCAAUCGAGCUUGGUGAUAGCUGGCUGCUCAAUAAAAGAAUUUAAGUUCAACUUUAGGUAUGUGUAAAUUAUUUCCAAAAUUCAUUCUUCCUCCUAAAGAAAAUCAAUGGGGGUACAGCCCCAUUGAACCGGAAUACAGCCCGAACUGAGAGAAACCCACCUUUAUUAACCUAAGUAGGCUUCAAAGCAGCCACCAUACAAUUGCGUUACAGCAUCCAACCAAAAUAAUUUCAACAGCCCAAACUAUCUCCUGAUAUACUUCGAGCUAUUCUAUAUUAACAUAGAAAUACCAAUGCUAAAAUUAGUAAUAAGAAAUAAUAAUUUCUCUCUGCAUCCCCUUAAAUCAGAAUAGAAAAUCUACUGAUAAUUACCACCACAUGACCCCACAUACACUAGAUAAAAGUCAUCAAAAAUUUGUUAACCCAACACAGGCAUGCACUAAAGAAAGACAAAAAGCCGUAAAAGGAACUCGGCAACAACCUGUCCCAACUGUUUACCAAAAACAUAGCCUUUAGCUUUACAAGUAUUAAAGGUCCCGCCUGCCCAGUGACUUUUUAAACGGCCGCGGUAUCCUAACCGUGCAAAGGUAGCAUAAUCACUUGUCCCCUAAAUAGGGACUGGAAUGAAUGGCUAAAUGAGGACAAAACUGUCUCUUACGGACUAGCCAAUGAAAUUGAUCCUCCAGUACAAAAGCUGGAAUAAACACAUAAGACGAGAAGACCCUGUGGAGCUUAAAAACCAAAAGUAUCAAAUAUGCUUCCUGGAUUUUUAGUUGGGGCGACUUCGGAGCAAAAAAAACCCUCCAAAAUAUGAAUUUAUUUAUUAAGACUAACACACCAAAAAUAAUUUUUAUAGACCCAGCAGUUAUUCUACUGUCUGAUCAAUGAACCAAGUUACCCCAGGGAUAACAGCGCCAUCCUCUUCUAGAGUCCCUAUCGACAAGAGGGUUUACGACCUCGAUGUUGGAUCAGGACACCCCUAUAGUGCAGCCGCUAUAAAAGGUUCGUUUGUUCAACGAUUAAAGUCCUACGUGAUCUGAGUUCAGACCGGAGAAAUCCAGGUCGGUUUCUAUCUAUGCAGCACUAUUUUUAGUACGAAAGGACCAAAAUAGUGGGACCUAUACUAAAUAAACGUCCCAAAAUAAACUACUGACUUCUACUAAAGUAGUUAUUAUGCUUUUCUCCUAAAUCAAAAUCAGGUUUAUUAAGGUG